GAUGAACGCUGGCGGCGUGCCUAAUACAUGCAAGUCGAGCGAACAGACGAGGAGCUUGCUCCUCUGACGUUAGCGGCGGACGGGUGAGUAACACGUGGAUAACCUACCUAUAAGACUGGGAUAACUUCGGGAAACCGGAGCUAAUACCGGAUAAUAUAUUGAACCGCAUGGUUCAAUAGUGAAAGACGGUUUUGCUGGCACUUAUAGAUGGAUCCGCGCCGCAUUAGCUAGUUGGUAAGGUAACGGGUUACCAAGGCAACGAUGCGUAGCCGACCUGAGAGGCUGAUCGGCCACCCUGGAACUGAGACACGGUCCAGACUCCUACGGGAGGCAGCAGUAGGGAAUCUUCCGCAAUGGGCGAAAGCCUGACGGAGCAACGCCGCGUGAGUGAUGAAGGUCUUCGGAUCGUAAAACUCUGUUAUUAGGGAAGAACAAAUGUGUAAGUAACUAUGCACGUCUUGACGGUACCUAAUCAGAAAGCCACGGCUAACUACGUG
rnacentral:rRNA from 1 species